rnacentral:lncRNA from 1 species
AUGUUGGAAUUCUGAAAUUGGUUGAAAAAAGUUUUUAACACCGAUUUUUGAUUUUUUAUGGUAUUUUUAGGUACGUGAAGCGUAUUUUAACAUUUGCAGAAAAAUUCAGUAAACCUUGGGACCGCUAGUGGGCGCAACUGAAAGUUCGGUGUUUCGGAUACCGAUUCAGGUAAGAAUCUUUCACCUUCUUUCCUGUAACAUUUGUAUACUUUAUAAAAAAUUUCAAAAAUUAAUUACAGGUUACUAAUGGAGCU